GAAUUCAGAAUACAUUACGAGGGAACCAAGCACCUUGCUGUUGGCCAGUCCAUCCACUGAAACCCCUUCUCUGCUGGUGGCCAUACGUGGAGGAUAAGCUGCUUUUUUGCGUGGAAAUGCUCCCUCUAACAGGGGGAAAACCAUUCCGUCUAAGUAAUGACCAAAGGAACUGCUUAUCUUGAACAUCAGAUGCAUAGAGGCUGGCUGAUCAUGCCGGCAUUUUCCAAACUAUCAAAUGCUGCUACAAGACAUUGUCGACGCCACCGAAGCACCCUAGCUGUUUAGAUCAUCAGCCCUCUUGGACUCCAGCAGCUCCUCAGCUGAACCGAAUGGAGAUUUAAAUUGUAAUAUAAUCAGUAUUGCUCCUGGAUAAUUGCCAUCUAUAACCUCCUGAUCCCUUUACCAAAGAGCUAAUUACACUGCAGUGUUCCUUAUAA